rnacentral:lncRNA from 1 species
CCAUGCCUGGACAAGGAUAUGGUUUACUGUUAACAAUUUGUACAUAUUUGUGGGGCACAUGUCAGUAGAGGGAAAGGGGGAUGAAAACAUGAAAGAGAAGUUAAAAUAUAUGAGGAAUUAAUGAAAAGGUUCACCAUAAGCUUAUUAGAGUUCUGGAAGCAGAAAAUAGAGAAAAUGGAGGAGAGAGACUAUUUUUAAAGAUAAUAGUUGAGUCAUGCAUAUUUUAUCACACUAAAAAUAAUAAUGGUUGAGC